rnacentral:rRNA from 1 species
UAGGGAAUCUUCCACAAUGGACGCAAGUCUGAUGGAGCAACGCCGCGUNAGUGAAGAAGGUUUUCGGACCGUAAAGCUCUGUUGUUGGUGAAGAAGGAUAGAGGUAGUAACUGGCCUUUAUUUGACGGUAAUCAACCAGAAAGUCACGGCUAACUACGUGCCAGCAGCCGCGGUAAUACGUAGGUGGCAAGCGUUGUCCGGAUUUAUUGGGCGUAAAGCGAGCGCAGGCGGAAGAAUAAGUCUGAUGUGA